rnacentral:rRNA from 1 species
AUUGAACGCUGGCGGCAGGCCUAACACAUGCAAGUCGAGCGGCAGCACGGGUACUUGUACCUGGUGGCGAGCGGCGGACGGGUGAGUAAUGCCUAGGAAUCUGCCUGGUAGUGGGGGAUAACGUUCGGAAACGAACGCUAAUACCGCAUACGUCCUACGGGAGAAAGCAGGGGACCUUCGGGCCUUGCGCUAUCAGAUGAGCCUAGGUCGGAUUAGCUAGUUGGUGAGGUAAUGGCUCACCAAGGCGACGAUCCGUAACUGGUCUGAGAGGAUGAUCAGUCACACUGGAACUGAGACACGGUCCAGACUCCUACGGGAGGCAGCAGUGGGGAAUAUUGGACAAUGGGCGAAAGCCUGAUCCAGCCAUGCCGCGUGUGUGAAGAAGGUCUUCGGAUUGUAAAGCACUUUAAGUUGGGAGGAAGGGCAGUUACCUAAUACGU